rnacentral:rRNA from 1 species
AUUGAACGCUGGCGGAAUGCUUUACACAUGCAAGUCGAACGGCAGCACGGACUUCGGUCUGGUGGCGAGUGGCGAACGGGUGAGUAAUGUAUCGGAACGUGCCCAGUCGUGGAGGAUAACGUAGUGAAAAUUACGCUAAUACCGCAUACGAUCUAUGGAUGAAAGCGGGGGAUCGCAAGACCUCGCGCGAUUGGAGCGGCCGAUAUCAGAGUAGGUAGUUGGUGGGGUAAAGGCCCACCAAGCCAACGAUCUGUAGCUGGUCUGAGAGGACGACCAGCCACACUGAAACUGAGAGACGGUCCAGACUCCUACGGGAGGCAGCAGUGGGGAAGUUUGGACAAUGGGCGAAAGCCUGAUCCAGCCAUUCCGCGUGCAGGAUGAAGGCCCUCGGGUUGUAAACUGCUUUUGUACAGAACGAAAAGGUUUCUACUAAUACUAGGAGCUCAUGACGGUACUGUAAGAAUAAGCACCGGCUAACUACGUGCCAGCCGCCGCCGUAA